rfam:Arabis alpina cultivar Pajares scaff_42531_1_contig_0, whole genome shotgun sequence.
CGUGCUUGGGCGAGAGUAGUACUAGGAUGGGUGACCUCCUGGGAAGUCCUCGUGUUGCACCCC